CGGGCGGCCGUGACCCUGCUGGAGUCCGGGGGGGACCUCCAGCCCCCCGGGGGGUCCCUGCGCCUCCUCUGCCGAGGGGACGGAUUCGACAUCGGGAAAUUUGUGAUGUUCUGGAUCCGCCAAAAACCUGGGAAGGCGCUGGAAUUCGUCGCGAGCAUCACCAGUGGUGGCAGCACCAACUACGCGCCGUCGGUGCAGGGCCGGUUCACCAUCAGCAGGGACAACGGGCAGAGCUCGGUGACGCUGAGCAUGAACAACCUCCAGGACGAGGAUUCCGGGGUUUAUUUCUGUGCCAAAUCUUUUGGUGAUAGUUGGGGUGCUGCUGCUGAUGGUGACAAACCGUGCCCCCAUCGCUGUGUCCCCAAUCCCCAGGAUUUUGCCCCAAACCCCAGGAUUUCCCCCCAAAGCUCAGCCCUGACCCCGCUCCUGACCCUUUGUCCCCGAGUGUCCCAGCGCUGA